rnacentral:misc_RNA from 1 species
AGGUUGCCCAAGUUACCCUUUUGGGUAACAGGGUUGAAUCCACCAGGAACAUAGUGCUGGAAAUGGCAGCCCUCCCCAAAUGGACAUCCAGCAGUGCUGAAAAAUUUGGUGCAUGGCUUCGUUUUGCUUCCUAAACCGGACUCCGCUUCUUUCGCUCGCUUCGAACCGGCGAUGCCGCCGUUAGCGUCGGGCCUCCCUCGCUUGCGGGAAUCCAUGGCGGCGAAAG